GCUGGGAUAGCUCAGUUGGUAAAACAUGAGACUCUUAAUCUCAGGGUCCCGGGUUUGAACCCCAUAUUGGGCA